rnacentral:rRNA from 1 species
GGAGGAAUAUUGGUCAAUGGGCGGGAGCCUGAACCAGCCAAGUCGCGUGAGGGAGGAAGGUCCUACGGAUUGUAAACCUCUUUAGCCGGGGAGCAACGUGCGCCACGUGUGGCGCAAUGAGAGUACCCGGAGAAUAAGCAUCGGCUAACUCCGUGCCAGCAGCCGCGGUAAUACGGAGGAUGCGAGCGUUAUCCGGAUUUAUUGGGUUUAAAGGGUGCGCAGGCGGCGCGAAAAGUCAGCGGUCAAAGUUCCGGGCUCAACCCGGUGACGCCGUUGAAACUUUCGGGCUGGAGUUCGUGCGAGGGAGGCGGAAUGCGUUGUGUAGCGGUGAAAUGCAUAGAUAUUAGGAGGAACACCGGUGGCGAAGGCGGCUUACUGGACGAUCACUGACGCUGAGGCUCGAAAGCGUGGGGAGCAAACAGGAUUAGAUACCCUGGUAGU